UGGGGGAUUUUGCACAAUGGGCGCAAGCCUGAUGCAGCGACGCCGCGUGAGGGAUGAAGGCCUUCGGGUUGUAAACCUCUUUCGCUGGGUUGAAAGGCCAUGCUUUGGGUGUGGUUGAUUUGAACUGGUAAAGAAGUACCGGCUAACUACGUGCCAGCAGCCGCGGUAAUACGUAGGGUACUAGCGUUGUCCGGAUUUAUUGGGCGUAAAGGGCUUGUAGGUGGUUUGUCGGUUCUGUCGUGAAAUCCUGUGGCUUAACCAUGGGCUUGCGGUGGGUACGGGUAGGCGUGAGUGGUGUAGGGGGGACUGGAAUGCCGGUGGGAGCGGUGGAAUGGGCGAAUAUCAAGAGGAACACCUAUGGCGGAAGCAUGUCUCUGGGCCGUUACUGACACUAAGGAGCGAAAGCGUGGGGAGCGAACAGG
rnacentral:rRNA from 1 species